UACGUAGGCAGCGAGCGUUGUUCGGAGUUACUGGGCGUAAAGGGUGUGUAGGCGGUCCCUUAAGUCUGGUGUGAAAUCUCCCGGCUCAACUGGGAGGGUGCGCCGGAUACUGAGGGGCUAGAGUGCGGGAAGGGAAAGUGGAAUUCCUGGUGUAGCGGUGAAAUGCGUAGAUAUCGAGAGGAACACCGGUGGCGAAGGCGGCCUUCUGGACAGUGACUGACGCUGAGACACGAAAGCGUGGGGAGCAAACAGG
rnacentral:rRNA from 1 species